rnacentral:rRNA from 1 species
GACGAACGCUGGCGGCGUGCCUAAUACAUGCAAGUCGAACGAGGGAUUAGAAAUAGUUCCUAGUGGCGAACGGGUGAGUAACGCGUUGGUGACCUGCCCCGAAGAGGGGGAUAACAGUCCGAAAGGACUGCUAAUACCCCAUGUGGUCUCAGGGAUUAGAUGCCCUGAGUCUAAAGGAGUAAUCCACUUUGGGAGGGACCUGCGUCCCAUCAGCUAGUUGGUAAGGUAACGGCCUACCAAGGCUUCGACGGGUAGGGGACCUGAGAGGGUGGCCCCCACAAUGGAACUGAAACACGGUCCAUACACCUACGGGAGGCAG